UACGUAGGUCCCGAGCGUUGUCCGGAUUUAUUGGGCGUAAAGCGAGCGCAGGUGGUUUAAUAAGUCUGAUGUAAAAGGCAGUGGCUCAACCAUUGUGUGCAUUGCAAACUGUUAGACUUGAGUGCAGUAGAGGAGAGUGGAAUUCCAUGUGUAGCGGUGAAAUGCGUAGAUAUAUGGAGGAACACCGGUGGCGAAAGCGGCUCUCUGGACUGUAACUGACACUGAGGCUCGAAAGCGUGGGGAGCAAACAGG
rnacentral:rRNA from 1 species